ACCUGUUCUAAAGAAGGAUAUUAUGGCACUAGAAAGAGUGCAGAGGAGGGGUACAAAAUUAAUAAAAGGAAUAGAACAUUUUAGCAAUGAAGAAAAAAUAAAUUUAAACCUCUUUAGUUUAGAAAAAUGUUGCCUCAGAGGGGAUAUGAUAACAUAUAACAGGACUUUACAUAGAACACAAGGUCAUGUGUUUAGACUGGAAGAAAGAAAAUUUAGUCUAAGGCAAAGGAAAGGGUUUUUUUUUACCAUAAGAACAACAAGGAUAUAGAAUUCUCUGCCUGAAGAAGUGGUUUUAUCAGAGUCCGUACAGAUGUUAAAAACAAGAUGCAUACUUGCAAAAACAGAAUAUUCAAGGAUAUCAUUUUUCAAUGUAGGGUAAAUGCUUCUUGAUCCAAACUAACUGCCAUUCUGGGGUCAAGAGAGAUUUUUUUUCCCCUCAUUUGUGCAAAAUUGGAAGUGCUUCAAACUGGGUUUUUUUGCAUUCUUUUGGAGCAACAGCAAAAAAACAAAUAUGAAGAAGUUGAUGGACACAUGUCUCUCCUCAGCCUAUUUAACAAUGAAUGUGGUCAGCAAAAUUAAUGCAAGUAGUGAGGGUUAAUCACCCAAACUAGCACACCAGAAUGGACAGAAGGGAGCUCACCAGGGCCAAGACCAGCAGCUAGAGACACGAGGCAGGAAGAGGCAGUUGUAGACAGAAACCGAAGGGAAGCGCCAUUAAAAUCGCAAGAUCGUAGGGGAAAAACGCGUAUUCGUAUGAAAACUAUCGAAUGGGUGAAUUAGUUUCGCGAACAAGGUGUGUUCGCAUACCAAAAGCAUCUAGAAAAAAAAAUAAAAAAAAUCAGUGGAGGAGAAACCUCAAGUAUGGGAAAAUGGAAAAAAAAAACCCUAGCUGGUCUGGGACCCAGAGCACAGAACAAACAAAUAUACAAUAAAUAGGUACAAAAACCCAGCAACAACAGUACAAGCUUAACUAAAGUCACAAGAGACAUAAAAUAAAAGUCUAACAUAAUCAGUACAAC